CAAACUGGGAUUAGAUACCCCACUAUGCCUAGCCUUAAACACAAAUAGUUGUGCAAACAAAACUAUUCGCCAGAGUACUACCGGCAAUAGCUUAAAACUCAAAGGACUUGGCGGUGCUUUAUACCCUUCUAGAGGAGCCUGUUCUAUAAUCGAUAAACCCCGAUAAACCUCACCGUUCCUUGCUAAUACAGUCUAUAUACCGCCAUCUUCAGCAAACCCUAAAAAGGUACAAAAGUAAGCACAAUCAUAAUACAUAAAAACGUUAGGUCAAGGUGUAACCUAUGGAACGGAAAGAAAUGGGCUACAUUUUCUAAUCUAAGAAAAUCCAACACGAAAGUUAUUAUGAAACUAAUAACCAAAGGAGGAUUUAGCAGUAAACUAAGAAUAGAGUGCUUAGUUGAAUUAGGCCAUGAAGCACGCACACACCGCCCGUCACCCUC
rnacentral:rRNA from 1 species